UACGUAGGGUGCAAGCGUUGUCCGGAUUUAUUGGGCGUAAAGAGCGUGUAGGCGGCCAUACAGGUCAGCUGUGAAAACUCGAGGCUCAACCUCGAGACGUCGGUUGAAACCGUAUGGCUAGAGUCCGGAAGAGGAGAGUGGAAUUCCCGGUGUAGCGGUGAAAUGCGCAGAUAUCGGGAAGAACACCCGUGGCGAAGGCGGCUUUCUGGUCUGUAACUGACGCUGAGGCGCGAAAGCGUGGGGAGCAAACAGG
rnacentral:rRNA from 1 species